rnacentral:rRNA from 1 species
GACGAACGCUGGCGGCGUGCUUAACACAUGCAAGUCGAACGGAAAGGCCCUGCUUUUGUGGGGUGCUCGAGUGGCGAACGGGUGAGUAACACGUGAGUAACCUGCCCUUGACUUUGGGAUAACUUCAGGAAACUGGGGCUAAUACCGGAUAGGAGCUCCUGCUGCAUGGUGGGGGUUGGAAAGUUUCGGCGGUUGGGGAUGGACUCGCGGCUUAUCAGCUUUUUGGUGGGGUAGUGGCUUACCAAGGCUUUGACGGGUAGCCGGCCUGAGAGGGUGACCGGCCACAUUGGGACUGAGAUACGGCCCAGACUCCGACGGGAGGCAGCAGUGGGGAAUAUUGCACAAUGGGCGGAAGCCUGAUGCAGCAACGCCGCGUGCGGGAUGACGGCCUUCGGGUUGUAAACCGCUUUCGCCUGUGACGAAGCGUGAGUGACGGUAAUGGGUAAAGAAGCACCGGCUAACUACGUG